CAGUAGCCGCGGUAAUACGAAGGGUGCAAGCGUUACUCGGAAUUACUGGGCGUAAAGCGUGCGUAGGUGGUGGUUUAAGUCCGUUGUGAAAGCCCUGGGCUCAACCUGGGAAUUGCAGUGGAUACUGGGUCACUAGAGUGUGGUAGAGGAUAGUGGAAUUUCCGGUGUAGCAGUGAAAUGCGUAGAGAUCGGAAGGAACAUCUGUGGCGAAGGCGACUAUCUGGGCCAACACUGACACUGAGGCACGAAAGCGUGGGGAGCAAACAGGAUUAGAUACCCCGGUAGUCCCUGUCUCUUAUAC
rnacentral:rRNA from 1 species